GUCCUUUUGAUUAUAAUAUAAGGUUUGACCUGCCCACUGAAAUUUUAAAGGGCCGCAGUAUUUUAACUGUGCAAAGGUAGCAUAAUAAUUAGUUUCUUAAUUAGAAGCUGGUAUGAAUGGUUGAACGAGAAAUUUACUGUCUCAAUUUAUUUAUUAAAAUUUUAUUUUUAAGUUAAAAAGCUUAAAUUGAUUUAAAAGACGAGAAGACCCUAUAGAGUUUUAUAUUUAUAAGUAUUUUUUUUUUAGAAUUUUUAUUUAUUUAUAAUUAUUUUAUUGGGGUGAUAUAUAAAUUUAAUAAACUUUAUAUUUUUAAUAACAUAAAUUUAUGAUAAAUUGAUCCAUAUAAAUGAUUAAAAGAAAAAAUUACCUUAGGGAUAACAGCGUAAUUUUUUUUUAGAGUUCUAAUCGAAAAAAGAGAUUGCGACCUCGAUGUUGGAUUAAAAUUAAUUUUUGGUGUAGAAGCUAAAAUAUUAGGUCUGUUCGACCUUUAAAAUUUUACAUGAUCUGAGUUUAAACCGGUGUGAGCCAGGUUGGUUUCUAUCUUUAAAUUAAAAUAAAUAUUUUAGUACGAAAGGACCAAAUAUUUUUAAAAUUUAAUUUUUUUUGAAUA
rnacentral:rRNA from 1 species